UACGAAGGGGGCUAGCGUUACUCGGAUUGACUGGGCGUAAAGGGCGCGUAGGCGGCUUGUACAGUCAGACGUGAAAUUCCUGGGCUCAACCUGGGAACUGCGCUUGUUACUGGCAGGCUUGAGUGUGGCAGAGGGGGGUGGAAUUCCACGUGUAGCAGUGAAAUGCGUAGAGAUGUGGAGGAACACCGAUGGCGAAGGCAGCCCCCUGGGCUAACACUGACGCCUCAUGCACGAAGCGUGGGAGCAACAGG
rnacentral:rRNA from 1 species